AGUGAACGCUGGCGGUAGGCCUAACAUAUGCAAGUCGAACGGCAGCACAGUAAGAGCUUGCUCUUACGGGUGGCGAGUGGCGGACGGGUGAGGAAUACAUCGGAAUCUACUUUUUCGUGGGGGAUAACGUAGGGAAACUUACGCUAAUACCGCAUACGACCUACGGGUGAAAGCAGGGGACCUUCGGACCUUGCGCGAUUGAAUGAGCCGAUGUCGGAUUAGCUAGUUGGCGGGGUAAAGGCCCACCAAGGCGACGAUCCGUAGCUGGUCUGAGAGGAUGAUCAGCCACACGGGCACUGAGACACGGUCCAGACUCCUACGGGAGGCAGCAGUGGGGAAUAUUGGGCAAUGGGGGCAAGCCUGAUCCAGCCAUACCGCGUGGGUGAAGAAGGCCUUCGGGUUGUAAAGCCCUUUUGUUGGGAAAGAAAAGCGGCAGGUUAAUACCCCGCUGUUCUGACGGUACCCAAAGAAUAAGCACCGGCUAACUUCGUG
rnacentral:rRNA from 1 species